GCAAUCAUAGCUAAGAGGUAAAGCAUCCUGCAAGACAGGAAAACGUCGGUUCGAAUCCGGCUGAUUGUC
rnacentral:tRNA from 1 species